UCCUGUGUGGCUCAGUUGGUAGAGCAUGGUGUUUGCAACGCCAGGGUUGUGGGUUCGAUUCCCACAGGGGAU
rfam:Salmo salar isolate Sally breed double haploid chromosome ssa14, whole genome shotgun sequence.